CUUUGGGGUCCUUGUUUCCUUUUAGAGAAAGAAUGUGUCCGUGUUGAAUCUGGAAUAAAUUGCAGUAUGAUCCAUACUGCAAUUUUCAGACAGACGAUCGACCUCAAUUGAAAUGACACUAGUGCCUGAAGGAGAUGGUUUUUCCUUGGAGUGCCUGGCUAAAGAGAAAGGAAAGCCGAGGCAGAGAACACUUCAGAGCUAAUUGCCCUAAUCCGAACGCUGCAUGAGAAGUGCUGUGCCAAAGCCAAGUGCUUGCCGGGUGGCCUGCUUCGCUGCGGGGAGCUGCUGGCUGCAUGGGGGUGGCCAGCAGCCGGACCACUUGCCAGGCUCUGCAGAAAUGCAGUACUCCUAGACUUCCUCUGGCCGCCCUGCGAGACUGUCCGUUCCCAAAUAAGUGUUUCUCAGAAAGAUGCUGUCACAGUUUUCAUACGUCAGCACAAGGCUCAGGCAACCUCAUCAAUCAGCCAUCCUGCUUCGGGCAACGGAUUCAUUAACAGGAAUUAUUUGCUGGA
ensembl:lncRNA